AGCUCAACGACCCCGAAAAAGGCUGGAAGUUCCAGGCUUGAUAGAAAAUCACCUGUAGAGGCUAGAAAGACCCGGAAGAGACCUCCGUAUCCGCUAACUCGUUACCUUUUAGACACAACCAUUGGUAAGUCGCUAGCUUGUAUGGUUUUUAAAUGAUUAAACUAUGAAUUAAAGGUGCUGUUUUUACGCGUGGGCGAGUGUCUCGGUCUCAGAGGGGAGUCUUUGAUUAAAAAGAGGAAUAAAAACAUCUGUUGGAAAUUGAUCUUAAUGCCUUAAUACAGAACA